CCUACGGGAGGCAGCAGUGAGGAAUAUUGGUCAAUGGGAGGAAUCCUGAACCAGCCAUGCCGCGUGCAGGACGACGGCUCUACGAGUUGUAAACUGCUUUUGUACCGGGGUAAAAUGCCUUACGUGUAGGGUUUUGAAAGUACGGUACGAAUAAGGAUCGGCUAACUCCGUGCCAGCAGCCGCGGUAAUACGGAGGAUCCGAGCGUUAUCCGGCUUCAUUGGGUUUAAAGGGUGCGUCGGCGGUCGGAUAAGUUAGAGGUGAAAUCCCGGGGCUCAACUUCGGAAUUGCCUCUGAUACUGUUAGGCUAGAGAGGAGUUGCGGUAGGCGGAAUGUAUGGUGUAGCGGUGAAAUGCUUAGAGAUCGUACAGAACACCGAUUGCGAAGGCAGCAUACCAAGCUAAUUCUGACGUUGAGGCACGAAAGCGUGGGGAGCAAACAGGAUUAGAUACCCGAGUAGUC
rnacentral:rRNA from 1 species